GGAAUUCCGGGUGUAGUGGUGAAAUGCGUAGAUAUCCGGAGGAACACCAGUGGCGAAGGCGGCACUCUGGGCUGUACCUGACGCUAAGACGCGAAAGCGUGGGUAGCGAACGGGAUUAGAAACCCCGGUAGUCCACGCGGUAAACGAUGUCAACUGGGUGUUGGGGGGGUAAAAGCUCUCAGUGCCGAAGCAAACGCGAUAAGUUGACCGCCUGGGGAGUACGGCCGCAAGGCUAAAACUCAAAGGAAUUGACGGGAGCCCGCACAAGCAGCGGAGCGUGUGGUUUAAUUCGAUGAUACACGAAGAACCUUACCUGGGUUUGACAUAUACGUAGUAGGGAACCGAAAGGCGACCGACUCUUCGGAGAGCGUAUACAGGUGCUGCAUGGCUGUCGUCAGCUCGUGCCGUGAGGUGUCGGGUUAAGUCCCGCAACGAGCGCAACCCUCGUUGCUAGUUAAACAUUACUAGCGAGACUGCUGGCAUAUAACCAGAGGAAGGUGGGGAUGACGUCAAGUCAGCAUGGCCUUUAUAUCCAGGGCUACACACACGCUACAAUGGUCGGUACAAAGAGUUGCCAAGCCGUGAGGCGGAGCUAAUCUCAACAAAACCGGCCUCAGUUCGGAUUGGAGGCUGCAACCCGCCUCCAUGAAGUCGGAGUUGCUAGUAAACGCCGGUCAGCUAUACGGCGUUGAAUACGUUCCCGGGCCUUGUACACACCGCCCGUCACGUCAUGGAAGCUGGUAACACCUGAAGUCGGUGAGCUAACCGAGAGGAAGCAGCUGCCGAGGGUGGGACUGGUAACUGGGACGAAGUCGUAACAAGGUAGCUGUACCGGAAGGUGCGGCUG
rnacentral:rRNA from 1 species